rnacentral:rRNA from 1 species
AGAGUUUGAUCAUGGCUCAGAUUGAACGCUGGCGGCGUGCCUAACACAUGCAAGUCGAGCGGUAACGCGGGAGCAAUCCUGGCGACGAGCGGCAAACGGGUGAGUAAUGCUUCGGAAUCUGCCCAUUGGUGGGGAAUAACCAGCCGAAAGGUUGGCUAAUACCGCAUAAGUCCUACGGGGGAAAGCGGGGGAUCGCAAGACCUCGCGCCGAUGGAUGAGCCGAAGCCGGAUUAGCUAGUUGGUAGGGUAACGGCCUACCAAGGCGACGAUCCGUAGCUGGUCUGAGAGGACGACCAGCCACACUGGGACUGAGACACGGCCCAGACUCCUACGGGAGGCAGCAGUGGGGAAUAUUGGACAAUGGGGGAAACCCUGAUCCAGCGACGCCGCGUGUGUGAAGAAGGCCUGCGGGUUGUAAAGCACUUUUAGUGGGGAUGAAAAGCUCAGGGCUAACACCUCUGGGUCUUGACCUAACCCACAGAAAAAGCACCGGCUAACUCUGUGCCAGCAGCCGCGGUAAUACAGAGGGUGCAAGCGUUAAUCGGAAUUACUGGGCGUAAAGCGUGCGUAGACGGUUGCAUAAGUCGGGUGUGAAAGCCCCGGGCUCAACCUGGGAAUUGCAUUCGAGACUGUGCAGCUAGGGUGCGGAAGAGGGAAGCGGAAUUUCCGGUAGCGGUGAAAUGCGUAGAUAUCGGAAGGAACACCAGUGGCGAAAGCGGCUUCCUGGUCCAGCACCGACGUUCAGGCACGAAAGCGUGGGGAGCAAACAGGAUUAGAUACCCCAGUAGUCC